GGGGUGAGGUCCGGAGCCGACGACCAAGAGGGAAUUCUUGAGACGUCUUUGGUGCGAAAUGGUGGCUUAUUAAAGCACGGGACAGGACCCGCGGGCAGGACGAGCUGUGGCCCCGGGGCUGUGAGUGGCGGCAGGUUGGGUCCAUUGGGGU